UCUAACUCAGAUAAGUACGUAUACGGGGAUGAUGAUUAAAAAGAACUUUACUAUUAUAAUUACUUCAAAUCUUAUUGUCUUUUUAUUUGUAGUUUUCUCAAAGUUAUAACCAAAUUCUAGUGAUCCUUUUGGCAAAUCCACACAAACAUCAUAAUUAUUUUUCAAUCAUAACUUUAAAAUUUGAAUACGAACACAAUUGUUGAUAUACUAAAAACAAAAUGAAAGUGGUUAGCAGAAAAGAGCAAUGAAAGUGGAGUAGAGUUGGUCAUAUGAGAACGAAAUGUAUGGGAGAGUCCACCUUGUUAAGCAAUAGGUAGUUCGCAUCAUCGCAUGGCUAAAUCAUGGAGAUAUCCACAUUAUGUUUUUUUUUUGUCGACAAUCCACAUUAUGUAUCUUCCGAAUAACAUGGAUUCUAUACAUUUUUCCAAAGAUAAAAUAAAAUUAUAAGAAACGUACAAUUAUGCAAAAAUUUGUGUUACUGUAGGUAAAAUUCCUCUCCUUUUGAACUAACUGAUCUUAUGACAUUCUUGUCUAGUGAUAAAGACAUAUCAAUUUGAAAGUCGUUAUUGUUGGAGGUGGGUUUUGCCUCCCUAGCGUGUAUUUAGGGUCGACAAUCCACAUUAUGUAUCUUCCGAAUAACAUGGAUUCUAUACAUUUUUCCAAAGAUAAAAUAAAAUUAUAAGAAACGUACAAUUAUGCAAAAAUUUGUGUUACUGUAGGUAAAAUUCCUCUCCUUUUGAACUAACUAAUCUUAUGACAUUCUUGUCUAGUGAUAAAGACAUAUCAAUUUGAAAGUCGUUAUUGUUGGAGGUGGGUUUUGCAUCCCUAGCGUGUAUUUUUGACGUUAUUUAGGAUUGGCUAAUCUUUUGUGCUUGUGGUAAAGCAUCUUAAUUAAUCAUCAUUAAUCAACUAGAGUCAAAUCUAUACUAAUAAAAAAGAUAUUUUGAGGUUCUAUGGAGCAUUUACAUCAGCAAAAAAAAAAAAAUUCAGAAAGAUGACACGUGACAUUAUUACUAAAAAAAUAAAUAUACAUAUAAAAAAAUAAAUAAUAAGUAAAUACACAAUAUAAAAAAUAUAAAUACU
rnacentral:lncRNA from 1 species